CGUGAUCAUUAUUACACGUUACUAAAAGGUCGCUGAAACUCAAUUAUAUUAUAUCGUUAAGUUUUAGGUUCAAGAAGAGACAAGUGUGUCAUUAUUACUUAGUUUGUGGGCGUGACUUGUGAGUGAAAUUUGUAGAUACGUCAUGUCUUACAUUGCCGACUCUUCAGUUCUUCCAUUGUGGACUGCUGUUAUCUUUGGAGUAAUCUGCCAUUCUAAGCCAAUUCAAUUUGAUCAAAAACAACUCAUUUCUUCAGAUCAAGAGGCAGAAUGUACAUUUACUUGUACUCCAGUUGAAGGCAGUGCCGAAUAUGAAAACUGUGAAUACGACUGUGUUGUGAAAGAUGCCACUUUUUACACCAAAGAACAAAGAAAACCGA